rnacentral:rRNA from 1 species
UACGUAGGUGGCAAGCGUUGUCCGGAUUUAUUGGGUUUAAAGGGUGCGUAGGCGGUCUAUUAAGUCAGUGCUGAAAUAUCCCGGCUUAACCGGGAGGGUGGCAUUGAUACUGAUGGACUUGAGUAAAGUUGAGGUGGGCGGAAUUGACGGUGUAGCGGUGAAAUGCUUAGAUAUCGUCAAGAACACCUAUUGCGAAGGCAGCUCACUAAGCUUUAACUGACACUGAGGCACGAAAGUGUGGGGAUCAAACAGG